rnacentral:ncRNA from 2 species
UGCGCUGCUCCGGGGUGUGCCACAUGCAAUGCAUGUGAGCGCUGAGAUGGAUGUAAUCCGAACCCGCUGAACUUGAUCCGGCUCAUACCGGCGAAAGAAGAGCCGUCCCUGCUAGA